rnacentral:rRNA from 1 species
AAGCUCGUAGUUGAAUUUCGAGAUCAAUUUUCUUGGUCAUACCUUUGUAUGUACUGGUCUUAUUGAUUUCUCCCUUCUGAUGAACCAUGAUGUCAUUAAUUUGGUGUUAUGGGGAAUCAGGACUAUUACUUUGAAAAAAUUAGAGUGUUUAAAGCAGGCUCACGCUUGAAUACAUUAGCAUGGAAUAAUGAAAUAGGACGUUUGAUUCUAUUUUGUUGGUUUCUAGGAUUGACGUAAUGAUUAAUAGGGAUAGUUGGG